rnacentral:rRNA from 1 species
UACAGAGGUCUCAAGCGUUGUUCGGAUUCAUUGGGCGUAAAGGGUGCGUAGGCGGCGCGGUAAGUCGGGUGUGAAAUCUUGGAGCUUAACUCCGAAACUGCAUUCGAUACUGCCGUGCUUGAGGACUGGAGAGGAGACUGGAAUUUACGGUGUAGCGGUGAAAUGCGUAGAUAUCGUAAGGAAGACCAGUGGCGAAGGCGGGUCUCUGGGAUAACACUGACGCUCAUGCACGAAAGCGUGGGGAGCAAACAGG